UCUUGAAUUAAAGAGAAAGAAUCAAACGUACAAACUGUAUGGGAUGGUGAAUCACAUGGGCAGUCUAACAGGUGGACAUUACACAGCCACCAUCCUGUCCAAUGAGGACGAAACCUGGUAUGAGUGUAGUGAUUCUUACGUCAGGAAGGUUGAACAGCUGUUUGAAAAAGGAACUUACAAAUCCAGGACUGUAUAUCUUCUCAUGUACAGAGGUAGGCUCACAAAAAUACACAAAGAAAUCAUUUAAGAUAUGACUUUAAUUACAAACAGAUUAUUGCUAAAUAUAUAAUUUUUUCUACUCUUCGUAGCCACAGAGUCUCAGGUGCCUUGUGGGACCAAAUCAGAAUAUCUGGCAGACAAUGCAAUGCAAAAACAGGAUGACAGUAACUUGAAUGAACCGAGGACAGACGAAGUGGAAUACAAAAAAAAUGUUGAAGAAAGAUGCAAAGAAAACGAUGAAGAGGACGAAGAACAGACAGAGAUGCCGGAACAAACAGGUGAUUCUCCAGGAGCUGAUGAGAGUACGUCUUGGAUCAAGAAAAUAUGUGAAGUAUUUUGUAAUUGUUUUUUGCCUCUUACUAUAAUAGUAAUUGGUUGUUAUGUUUAUUACAACUAUAACAAUAACAACUAGAUAGGUAAUUUGCCUUUGUCUGGAUCUAUGAAGAGUUAAAGUAUGUCAUGUUACUAAAACAUUUCUAUUACUAUUAUUAAUAGUCAUACAAUAUGUCAGACGAAUACUUACUCAUAAGGACUCCAAUCAUAUUAUGCGUUAGCAUCCGUGCAGAUUUAUAUCUGAUGUAAGACCAAACUAAAAUAGAUGAAGAACAUCUCAAAAACGAUCACAUCUUGUGCAAGAUGAUUGUGGCAGAUAACCGUAAGCCAAGACUGUGUAACAUUGUUUCUGUACCUCAGUCCAUUAUAAUAGGUGAUGUCUGCAAAGGAAUAAUCAAGUGAGGACCAAGGGUCCAUUUUGUUCAAUUAGAUUAACAAUUGUCUCAAAUCUUACCAAACUGGUGAAGUUUUGAGAUGUUAUUGUUGACGGCUCAGAGGUAGAGGGGGUUGUCCACUAAUCAGAAGGUCAAUCCCCGGCUUCCGUCCGCUGUGAGUGGGAAUGGCACAUGGCAGCCACUGCCAUCAGUGUGUAAUGGCUGAGUGUGGCAUGUAGUGUACAGCAUAUUGAGUGGUCGAAAGACUAGAAAGGCGCUACAUAAGUACAGUCUAUUUACCAUAUUGUGUUUUUUUUAAAUUAAAAAAUGUAAUUACACAUUUAUUUAUUUUUUCUCAGAUAAUGUUUUGGUUACACAAUGUUCUCACUGUUAGCUGUUGAUGUGUAUGUGUGUGGUUUUAUGAAUAAAUAAUGUUCGUUCUGUUUUAAUCA